UACAGAGGGUGCGAGCGUUAAUCGGAAUUACUGGGCGUAAAGCGCACGUAGGCGGCUUUCCAAGUCAGUUGUGAAAUCCCCGGGCUCAACCUGGGAACUGCAUCCGAGACUGCAUUGCUAGAGUAUGGGAGAGGAAAGCGGAAUUUCUGGUGUAGCAGUGAAAUGCGUAGAUAUCAGAAGGAACAUCAGUGGCGAAGGCGGCUUUCUGGACCAAUACUGACGAUCAGGUGCGAAAGCGUGGGGAGCAAACAGG
rnacentral:rRNA from 1 species